CCCAGGUCAGGCGGGGCC
rnacentral:rRNA from 2 species